GGGGUAGGUGCGUCGAACUAUCCGAUCAAUGGUCGGUCCAGAUGUUGCCACGUAUCAUCAUCUGAUAAAUCUUUGAUUCGAUCGCCUUCAUCUUGGUCGUUGAGGAAUCCUAUAUAUAUAGGAUCGCUGUCAACCAAACUUCUACUUUUUAUUUUGUCUUUCUUGGUGCUGAAACUCUGCCGGACGGUCGCUCCAGCAUCUGAGGUUGUUAUUCUCAUCUUUUUUAGGUCAAGUUUCUGUCUUUUCUUAAGUCUCUUUUCCUUUAGAAUCUCUACCUUCUUUAGAGUCUUGUCUCUUAUGGCUAGGACUUCUCCUUC
rnacentral:lncRNA from 1 species